CCUCCGUCCCACAAAGAAUCUAUUUUUCAAUUUUUGAUACGACUAUUCGUCUUAUUUAAAAACUUUUUAUGAUUAAUAUUUUUAUUAUUGUUAGAUGAUAAAGCAUGAAUAGUAAUUUAUGCAUGACUAUUUUGUAAAACAAUUUUUGUAAUUUUUUUAAAUAAGACGAACGGUCAAACGUUUGAGACAGAAACC
rnacentral:pre_miRNA from 3 species